UACGGAGGGGACUAGCGUUGUUCGGAAUUACUGGGCGUAAAGCGCACGUAGGCGGAUUUGUUAGUCAGGGGUGAAAUCCCGAGGCUCAACCUCGGAACUGCCUUUGAUACUGCAAAUCUCGAGUCCGGAAGAGGUGAGUGGAAUUCCUAGUGUAGAGGUGAAAAUUCGUAGAUAUUAGGAAGAACACCAGUGGCGAAGGCGGCUCACUGGUCCGGUACUGACGCUGAGGUGCGAAAGCGUGGGGAGCAAACAGG
rnacentral:rRNA from 1 species